ACCUGGCUGGCUCAGUCAGUGGAGCCUGUGACUCUUGAUCUCCAGGAUAUGAGUUCAAGCCCCAUGCUGGGCA
rnacentral:tRNA from 1 species